rnacentral:rRNA from 1 species
UGGGGAAUAUUGCGCAAUGGGCGAAAGCCUGACGCAGCGACGCCGCGUGGAGGAUGAAGGUCUUCGGAUUGUAAACUUCUGUUAAGUGGGAAGAAAGGCUUGCCAGUAAUAUGGGCGAGAGAUGACGGUACCACUAGAGAAAGCACUGGCUAAUCUCGUGCCAGCAGCCGCGGUAAUACGAGAGGUGCAAACGUUAUUCGGAAUCAUUGGGCGUAAAGGGUGCGUAGACGGUAUGACAAGUCUGUUGUAAAAGACUCCAGCCUAACUGGAGCAGCGCAAUGGAAACUGUUGAACUAGAGUGUGAGAGAGAGAAGUGGAAUUCCCGGAGUAGCGGUCAAAUGCGUAGAUCUCGGGAGGAACACCGAUGGCGAAGGCAGCUUCUUGGCUCAUUACUGACGUU